rnacentral:misc_RNA from 1 species
AAGUCGUAACAAGGUCUCCGUUGGUGAACCAGCGGAGGGAUCAUUACCGAGUUUUCAACUCCCAAACCCACUGUGAACAUAUACCUUUGUUUUCGUUGCCUCGGCGGUUCGCGCCGCCGGGUGACACCUAAACCCUGAUUUAAUUACAGAAGUCUUUCUGAGUAAAAACAUUCUAAAUGAAUCAAAACUUUCAACAACGGAUCUCUUGGUUCUG